GCUGAUCAGAAUCAUCUUCCCCCUGUUGACGCUAAAAAUAUCAUUAAUAUUAGAAUUUUGUCAUCACCUUUAUUCACAGUAGCACAUACACAAAGUCUGCAUUCAUUCUUUGUGCUGGAAAGGUAUAAUUUAAUCCUUGAAAAACAAAUAAUACAAAAUGGAAGUGCAAAGACAAUACAGGGAUAAGGGAUUAAUGGAAAUAUGGGCUGUGCCAUGGAAUUGAAUAUUUCCAUCCUCAAGAUGAGCCAACAACAACAACAACAACAAUAA
rnacentral:misc_RNA from 1 species